UUGGAAGGAGGGUUAAGAAUAACUCAGGAACGGGUCUCAUUCUUUUUGUGGGAAGAAUGACCAGAAGCAUAAAACCUAAAUCUUCCAGUGAGUGCAAGAUAUCUCUUUCGGUGUUUGCUGUUAACCUAACAGAAUGAACUGCUGUCUGUACAAUUUCGUACCAUGACACCUAAAAUGAAGGAAGUGGUAAACCAAAGUAAUAACUCAAAGGCUGCCACGGAUGGCUUUUGUCUACUUUUAACUCAUUGUGGAAAGGUGGAAAGAAUGGAAAUGUCCCUUGUGCAUGGAGAAGGCCUACUUUCAGCAUAUGCAUUAAUCUCUGAUCCACUGAGUGACUGAACUUUCAAGGCAAAGUUAGACAUUCCAAAGAUGGCAUAGAUGAACAUGACCAGGAAGAGCAGGAGGCCGAUGUUAAACAACGCGGGAAGGGACAUCAUCAAUGCAAAGAGCAGAAGCACGCGGAACACGAUCAGGAAGGAAUGGAAGAAGUCGUUCAUGUGCCAGCGAGGAAGCUUACAGUCAGCAUUGAUCUU